UGCCGAAAUCGAGAUCGCGUGAAGAUCAGAGUUGGGUGUGUGUAAGCAGUGCGUUUAUGAAUGAAAUUGAAAAUUUUGCACGUGCUCUGCAAAAAAUCACAUGCGGGAUUACUAAUUUGGAUUUGCCCUAAAUUGCAGGUUUGAAGUUCAUGGACAACACAGAAUGGCCAUCAGAGAACACUGGGUCAAGUCCUACGAUUUCAAAGCUGUGAACGGACGUUUUGCACGGAGAGGCGUUACGGGGAGUGUCCGGGGAGCGGGAAUUGGGGAGUACACAGUGUACACCAACGCCAUCUGUUCUGGGCAAGGUAGCGCCAAUGAAUACGUUUGACUGUCAAUCCUUUGGAUUUAAAAUUGUAUUGUCGCUCACAACAUUGGGAGUGUUGGAUUCUUUAUGCAUCUGAUUGGUUUGUGCGUCUAGUGUGCGCUGUAGCGCUUGUGUGUGGCGGCAGUGGCGUGUUUUGGAAGACGAUGGGUAGCUUAGGCAUGCAUCGCAUAUAUAUGUGGUGAUUGAGGAGUAAGACGUAUCUGGUAAAAAGUGUACGUUACUGGAUACAAGACUGAGACUGUGAGUGUUAUUUGGGAAGGGCUCUACGUUUAUGUACGUAUCGGCUGCGGGAGUGCAUUGUGCGAGGGUUGAAUUGUCAUUGGAAAUGAUUGGACACUGAAUGACAUUAUCAAAAAUGGAGUUAAAAAUGGAAUUUUUUACAGACUUACAUUUAAACGUUGUUUUAUGUUGAUCAUAUUCUAUGUUAUUAUUAGGGUUAGCAAAUACAUGGUCACAAAUGGUUUCACAAGUAUUAUAAGAAUAUUCAUUAUGUUAAACAAAUUUUUUUUUGCUAACAAAUAUAUUGUCAGUGAAAUUUGAUGAUAAAGCUUUGUCAAAACUGUCGUUUGCCAUAUGCGGAUUCACUGUCCCCGUGUUCUCCGAGCACAUUAUUUUGUCUACUGUUGGGGAAUUGGGUAGGUCGCACUGUGUCGCCUCUUCAUCAGACAUGUUUCCAUCUUUGUCCGUUAAAGUCAGGUAUGAUGGCUGCGUUGUCUUGGGUUUGGAAGGUCCCUUUCCGCGAGGCGAGUUUGAUGAUGACCUUGAUCUCGGCGAAGCCGUGGGAUUCGGCAUUUUGAUGGUUAGGUCCACUGGCUGUUGUCUGGAUGUUUCGUCUGCCAAUUUUCUGGGUGGUUUGUUGGUAUGUGUUGGAGGACUUUUUUGAGCGGGUCGUGGUAGCUGUUGGGCGGUGUAGUGUACUGUCUGUCGGAGCAUUUCUACACUGAACGCUACGGAGUAGUGGAUGCGUUCAUUGGUAUUUGAUACUCUUGACCCCUUGAGAAUAGGGUACCACUCUGGGAAUAAAUCCUCGACGAUUCGCCCGUUCACUCGGAGUGCUGCUGGGAAAAGCAUCUGGACGUUCCGGGGUCCGUGUUUGGACCUAGCGUCCUUGAAUUUGGGCCAUAGCUGCUUCCUGGCGUCGCUUAUUUCUUUGGGGUAGUCUCUCAGAAUGCUGAAGUUGGUACCGGCGAGUCGACGUGCGCUGUUCAUGAGGUCGUCAACUUCACCUGGGUGGCUCAUCAUGACUCGAAUUAACCGUGGUCGUGCGUUGUUUGUGCUGAUUCGUCUGCCGACACGAUUGGCGCGAAGGACUGAAAUCUCACCCCUGUCAAUAUCAAGUGACCUUCGCAGGAAUUCAUGAACUGUAUUACGGCAAUUCUCGUUUUCAUGUUCAUCUAUUCCCGCAAUAAGUAUGAAGCUCUCCCUCUGACGGGCCUCAAGCUCUAAUGUUUUGUAUUCGAGCAGUAAUACACGUUCGUGGGUAACGUUUUGGGCGGCACAAUUGUAAUACAAAGUCGACUCGAUAUUGUCAACACGGCAUUUUAAUAGACCCAUAUUUUUCAUACUAUCUAAUAUUGUGUCAAUUUUUUUCUCUAACUGCUGGAAGUUAUCAUUGGUAUACACCUGUCGUAUUGGGGAACUAUCCGCCGAAGAUGAAUGUCUGAAGGUCGAUACCCCACCUGCUGACUCCUGACGUUUACGUUUGUCAUUUCUUGAUUUAUGUCUUUCUUCCUGGGAAAGUUCGCUAUUAAGUGGUGCAAAUCGUGAACCCAUACUUAUACCAUACGAAUAAUCUGCUUGUGCUCUGUUCAUAUUGGUAAAAUGUGCUAAUAAAAAAUAUUUUUCAUUGUUUACGAUUUCAAUGACACGUCUCACGACCGGAAGCUCGUCAUUCAGUCAGUACUUCUCGGACAGUGCUCGGAAGCAUUACCAUAAGCACUUAUAGUUCUUAAAGAACGGUCAUGUUCAUGAUGUUAAUGUAUAUUGUUACUGUGUUGAUUUUAUAUGUAUGUAUAUGAAUGUGACUGCAAUAAACUAAUA